GAUUGGCUGAUUCGUGUGGUGUGGGCGGACUUGAACGGGGGUGAUUGGGAAGCGUGCAUUUGCAGAGCAAGAAGACUUCUUGAAGUAGACUGAUAACAGAUAUCACGCUCAAAAUACUUAUGUAAACUUUCCAUACAUAGACACAUCAGCUUUUAGGCUGUAAUUUAUAUUCAUGGUUUUUCCCCCGGUAUUUUCAUCAUUUUACUACUAUUUGAGAGUUAACUGGAGGAACACUGCUUUUCAAAGAUGUGGUUAUUUUUAUCAAUGUGUGCACUGGUUAAAGCUUUCCAUGCAGACUUUUCGGAAACAGGAUCUGGUGUCUCGGACUCAGAGGGGUUCAACACAUAUCUGAAUCUCUUUACACAAAGAGUGGAUUUACUUGAGCAGCUCUCAGGCUUAGUACCAACCAGCAGGAACGUGACCCUUUAUGAGGAGGACAAAAGAUGUCCAGUGCUGGACAUUGGCCUGUAUUCCACACUCACCAUGCCCUCCCAUGAAGCAUUUGGAUCAAGCUUUGCAGAUGAAUUUAGUCUUCUGAUUCAACUGCGGAGCUCACAAGAAGAGGACCGGAGUGUGUUGACUUUGCUGAACUUCUAUAAUCACAUUUUACUCCAGAUCCGUAUAGGCCCACACAGCAUCACCUUCAUCACCACACAGCAGCGUGACUAUGAGUUUUCAGUGUCAGGGCUGUCUGACUCGCAGUGGCACUGGAUCUCAGUUGGGGUUGCAUUUGAAUGGCUGGCUGUGUAUGUGGACUGUGUGCUGGUGGAGAAAGUGAGCUGGAUGUACCCGUACAUGGGCAUCACUACAGAUGGCCUGCUGAUGGUGGGGGGAAUCCUGGAGGGCUUUGAGACACCCUUUGAGGGAGAGCUGAGACAGAUGACCUUCAUAAUGGGAGAUGCAAAUGCUGCCAGGGAUCACUGUGCUCUUCAUCAGCAUAUAUGUGAACCUGUAAAAGAACGUGGGUUUCUUAAAACAGAAAGUAGCACUGAGAGCCCUUUUUUGUCUUCAGCUGGCUCAACAGCAGACAGACCUUUCUCAUCAAAUCCCUCUACUGGCAGAGAUGAGACUGCCAAUAUACAUCCUGUUCCAGGGCUCCGGCCUGAACCCAGAAAAUCACAUGGUUCGCAUGGUGCUGUAACAGAGAGGAGCUGUGCUGAGACGGUUUGAUAAACACCCCGUCUGGGAGAGUAAGUCCGGGGAUACUCCAGGAACAGCUCCAAAGCUUGCAAAUCGCCUGG
ensembl:lncRNA